rnacentral:lncRNA from 1 species
CACUUUAGCAGGGGUCUCCAACCACAGGGCCACAGAGCCGGAGCUGGAUCUACCAUGAAAGACUUCAGAGUCCAGGAAGAGAGACUGACUGGGCAACAUGUUAUUCAGGUCUUGCUCAGUUGUCCAGGCUGGAGUGUGGUGGUGCUAUCACAGCUGUCUGCAGUCUCAACCUCCCAGGCUCAAGCAAUCCUCCCACCUCAGCCUCCCAAGUUGCUGAGACUAUAGGUGCUUGCCUCUAUGCCCAACUCAUAUUUGGACUUUUUCUAUAUGUGGGUUCCAGAGGGAUGACUGCGAAACGUGAGAUGGGACCAUCUAGUCGCAGGAAAACAGGCUUAACACGGCCACUGAUUCUACAUUAUGCUCCUGCCUCCCAGCAGCCUCUUCAGGCCCAGAACUUUCUCCACUCAGCCGCUACAGACCAAGCUCAUGACUCACAAUGGCCUAUUUAGGCCCAUACCAUACCUCACGACAGUCUCCGCAGAUGAGGCUACUGCCUCACAACAGCCUCCACAGGCACAGCUCCAUCGUUACAAUGGCCUCUUUAGACCCAGCUCCUGCCUCCCAGCCUUCUCUCCAGGCCCUGAACUUUCUCAAGUCGACCUCACCAGGCCCAGCUCCUGCCACUCAUUGGCCUCCCAAGGGCCAGCUUUUGCUUCACGGCCACCUUCCAAGACCCAGCUCCUGUUUUACAGUGGCCUCUGGAGGCCCAUCUUCUGACUCCUGGCAGCCUGUACAGGCCCAGCUCCUGCCUUACAAUGGCCUCUUUAGUCCCAGCUCCUGCCUCUUUGCAGGAGGGCCAAAUGUCCGCAAGUCCAGGCCACAAAAUCCAGGGCCAAAAUGUCCGCAAGUCAGCCUCUCAAGGCCCAGCUCCUGCCUUUCGUUGGCAUCUCUAGGCCCAGCUGCUGCCCCCAGGUGGCCUCUACAGGCUGUGCUCUUUCUUCUGACUGUGUCUGGAGGUCCAACUCCUGCCUCAGAACAACCUCUUUUGGCUCAGCUCCUGCCCAGCUCCUACUGGCCUUUGUAGGCCCCAAACUGCCUCAAGUCAAGCUUUCCAGGCCCACCUUCUGCCUCCCAAUGGCCUGGACAGGCCCAGCUCCUGCGUGACAAUGGCCUCUCCAGGCCCAGCUUUUGCCUCACAGAGGCCUUCCCCAAACAAGGUCCUGCCUGCCUCCCAGCAGCUUCAACAGGCCCAGAUCCUGCCUCACACUAAUCUCAUUAGGCCCAGCUCACGCCUCACGGUGGCCUCUCCAGGCCCAGCUCCUGCCCCCCGACAGGCUCUCCGUGCCGGAAACUUCCUCAAGUCGGCCUCUCCAGGCACAGCUCCUGCAUCCCAGCAGCUUCUCUAGACCGAGAACUUUCUCAAGACUGCCAUUCCAGGCCCAACUUGUGCCUUCCGUCAGCCUCUACAGGCUCAACGUCUGCCUCACAGCAGAUUUUCCCAGCCCAGCAUGUGCCUCACUGCAGCCCCCUAGGCCAAGCUCCUGCCUUUCAGCAGCCUCUACAGGCCCCACUCCUGCCUCAAUGGCCUCUCUAGGGCAAGCUUAUGCCUCACAGUGGCCAUUCUGGCCCAGGUUUUGCCUUUUGGCAGCAUCUCCAGACCCAGAACUUCCUCAAGUGGGCCUCUCCAGGCCCAGCUCUUCCUCCCGGCUGCAUCUCCAGGCCCACCUCCUACCUCACAACAACCUCUUUCGGCUCAGCUCCUACCCAGCUCCUGGCAGCCUUUAUAGGCCCAAAACUUUCUCACAUCAAGUUUUCCAGCACAACCUUCUGCCUCCCGGCAGCUUGAAUAGGCCCAGCUCCUGAAAGACAGUGGCCUCUCUAGGCUCAGCUCUUGCCUCACAGAGGUCAUCCCUGGCCAAGUUCCUGCCUGCCUCCCAGCAGGCUCAACAGGCCCAGCUCCUGCCUCUGACAGUCUCUCCAGGCCAAAAUCUUCCUCAAGUAGGCCUCUCUACAGGCUGAUCUCUUGCCUCACACUGGCCUGUUUAGGCCCAGUUCAUGCUUCUUGGCAGCCUCUCCAGGCCCAGCUCCUGCAUCUUGGCCUCUCCAGGCCCAGCCUCUGCCUCCCGUCGGCCUCUACAGUCACAACAUCUGCCUCACAGCAGAUUCUUCAGGCCCAGUAUCUGCCUCACUGUGGACCCCCCAAGCCAAGCUCCCAACCUUUCAGCAGCUUCUACACACCCAGCUCCUGCCACCCAGUAGCCUCUUUAGGCCAAGCUGAUGCCUCACAGGGGCCUUUCCAGGCCCAACUUUUGUCUCAUGGCAACCUUCCCUGGCCAGAUUCCUGCCUGUCUCCCAGCAGCCUAUACAGGCCCAGGUCUUGCCUCACACUGGCCUCUCUACAUCCAACUCAUGCCUCACGGUGGCCUCUCCAGGCCCAGCUCCUGUCCCAGGACGUCAUCUCCAGGCCCAAAACUUCCUCAAGUCAGCCUCUCUAGUCCCAACUGCUGCCUCCUGGUGGCCUAUGAAGGCCCAAAAUCUCCUCAAGUUGACCUCUCCAGGCCCAGCUCCUGCCUCCUAUCAGUGUCUACAGGCCCAACCUCUGUCUCAUGGUGGCUUCUCCAGGCCCAACUCUUCCUCUUGGCUGAGUCUACAGGCACAACUGCUGCCUCAUAACAGCUGCCUCACAACAGCCUUUUUUGGCCCAGUUCCUGUCCAGCUCACGGCAGCAAAUGUAGGCCCAAAACUUCCUCAAGUAAAACUCUCCAGGCCCACCUUCUGCUUCCCGGUGGCAUGAACAGGCCCAGCUUUGACUUGAGAACAGCCUCUGCAGGCCCUGCUCUUACCUCUCAGGGGCUUCUCCAGGCCCAGCUCUUGUCUCAUGGCAGCUGCCCCAGGCCAAGUUUCUGCCUGCCUGCCAGCAGCCUCAACAGGCACAGCUCCUCCCUCACAGUGGCCCAUUUAGGCCCAACUCAUGACUGUCGGGCCAUUUCCAGGCCUAGUGCCUGCCUCCUGGCUGACUCUUGAAGCCCAAAACUUCCUGAAAUUAGCCUUUUGCUCAACUUCUGUCUACUGUUGGACUCUACAGGCCAGCCUCUGCCUCACAGUGGACCCUCCAGACCCAGAUGGUGUCUCACUGUGGCAUCCUCAGGCGGAGCUCCUGCCUUUCGGCAGCCUCUACGGGCCCAGCCCCUGCCUUGCAAUGGCCUCUUUAGGCCAAGCUCAUGCCCCAUGGCGACUUUUCCAGGCACAGCUUUUGCCUUUUGCAGCCUGUCCAGGCCCAGAAUGUGCUUAACUCGGCAUCGCCAGGACAAGCUCAUCCUCCCGGUGCGUCUACAGGCCCGUCUCCUGCCUCACAACAACCUCCUUUGGCCCAACUCCUGCUGAGCUGCUGGCAGCCUCUGUAGGCCACAGACUUCUUAAAGUAAAGCUUUCCAGGCCCACCUUCGGCCUCCCAGCAGCCUCAGCAAUCAAACUAUUCCCUCACUGCGGCCACCGAAAGCCAAGUUUCUCCCUGCCUCACGGCAUCCUCCGAAAACUGAGCAUUUGCCUCACGGUGGCCUCCCCAGGCCACGAAUCUGCCUGCCUCCCAGGCAGCUGCUGCCUCACAAUGGUCUCUUUAGGCCCAGCUCAUGCUAGAAGACGGACUCUCCAGGCACAGCUCUUGCCUCCUGGCAGCCUCUGCAGGCCCAAAUUCUCCAAAAGUUGGCCUCUCCUAACUCAGCUUCUGCCUCAUGUCGGCCUACACAGGCCCAGACUCUUACCACACAGUAGACCCUCCAGCCCCACCACUUGCCUGAGCAUAGCCUCCUAAGGCCAAGCUCCUGCCUUUCAGCAGCCUCUACAGGCCCAGCUCCUGCCUCGCAAUUGCCUUUGUAGGCCAAGAUUGUGCCGCGAAGUGGCCUUUCCUAGCCUAACUUUUGCUUUUUGACGCAUACUCCCGUCCCAAAACUUCCUCCAGUCAGCCAGUCCAGGGUAAGCUCUUCCUCCCAAAGGCUUCUGCAGGCCAAAAUCGUCCUGAAGUCACCCUCUGCAGGCCCAGCUCCUGCCUCCAAGUGCUGUGUAGGCCAAGCUAAUGCCUCACAGCACACUUUCCAGGCUGAGCAUUUCCUUUUGUGCAUACUCUUCAAGCCCUGAACUUACUCUAGUUGGCCUCUCCAGGCCAAGCUCUCCUUUCCAGUGGCCUCUACAGGCCAAAAUUGUUCUCAAAUCAGCCUCUCCAGGGCCAACUCCUAGCUACCGGUGGCUUCUGCACGCCAAAAUCGACCUCAAGUCAGCCUCUCCACACCCAGCUCUUGCCUCUAAGUGGUCUCUGCAGGAGCAAAACUUCAAGUCGGCCUCUCCAGGCCCAGCCUCCUGCUUCCCGAGGGCAUGUACAGGCCCAGCCUCUGCCUCACAGCAGACUCUCCACGCCCAGCUCUUCCCUGUCUGUGGCCUCUCCAGUCCAAAGCUGUUACUGCCUUUCGGCAGCUUGUACAGGCCCAGCUCCUCCCUCACGGUGGUCUCUUUUGGCCCAACUCAUGCCUCUUGCAACCUACCCAACUGUCACCUCCUGCCUCACACUGGCCUGUUGAAGCCCAGCUCAUGCCUCUUGUGGCCUCAACGGGCGCAGCCCCUGCCUGACGGUGGCCUCUACAGGCCCGGACUCUACCUCACAGUGGGCUCUCCAGGCCCAUCUCUUCCUAACUGUGGCCUCCUGGGGCAAUGCUCCUCCCUGUCGGGAGCCUCUGCGGGCCCAGCUCCUGCCUCCCAGUGGCGUCUGUAGGCGAAGCCCGUGCCUCAGGGCAGCCUUUCCAGGCCUAGCGUUUGCUGCUUUGCAUCCUCUCCAGGCCCUGGACUUCCUCCAGUCGGCCUCUCCAGGCCGAGCUCUUCCUCCCGGCGGCCUCUGCAGGCCCAGACUGUCAAGUCGGCCUGUCCAGAGCCAAUUCCUGCCUCCUGGCAGCCUCUGCAGGCCCAAGUCAUCCUAAAGUCGGCCUCCCUAGGCCUAGCUCCGGCCCCUCGGCAGCCUCUCCAGUUGCAAAAGUUCCUCGAGUCAGCCUCUACAGGCCCAGCUCCUCCUGUCUCCCAGUGGCCUCUUUCGGCCCAGCCCAGCUCAUGCCUCCCGGCGGCCUUCCCAGGCCCCGCUUUUGACUUUCGGCGGCCUCUGCAGACCCCGAACUUGACGUCCAGUCAGCCUCUCCAGGCUCGGCCUCCUGCCUCCCAAAGGCUUGCACAGGCCCAGUCUCUGCCUCACAGUGGACUCUCCACGAACAGCUAGGUCUCGCCUCACUGCGGCCUCCCGAGUCCAAAGCUCCUGCCUCUCGGCCGCUUCGGCAGGCCCAGCUCCCGCCUGCCAGUGGUCUCUUCAGGCCCAUGGGGCUCAUUCCUCACAACGGCCUUUCCAGGCCCAGUUUUUCCCUUCCGGCGGCCUCUCCGGGCCCAGAAGCUCCUCAAGUCAGCCUCUCCAGACACACUUGCAGCCUCCCGGCGUCCUCUCCGGGCCCAGCUCUUCCUCCCGGCAGCCUCUGCAGGACCAGACUGUUGUCAAGUAGGCCUGUCCAGGGACAGCUCCUGCCUCCCGGUGGCCUCUGUAGGCCCAAUUCGUCCUCCAGUCAGCCUCCCCAGGCCCAGCUCUGGCCUCUUGGCGGCCACUCCAAGUGCAAAACUUCCUCGAGACCGUCUCUCCAGGCCCAGCUCCUCCUGUCUCCCAGUGGCCUCUUUCAGCCCAGGCCAGCUCAUGCCUCCCGGCUGCCUUCCCAGGCCCCGCUUUUGACUUUCCGCAGCCUCUGCAGGUCCCGAACUUGACCUCCAGUCGGCCUCUCCAGGCCCGGCCUCCUGCCUCCCGAAGGCUUGCACAGGCCCAGCCUCUGCCUCACAGCGGACUCUCCACGCCCAGCUCGCUCUCGCCUCACUGCGGCCUCCCGAGUCCAAAGCUCCGGCCUCUCCGCCGCUUCGGCAGGCUCAACUGCCGCCUGCCAGUGGCCUCUUCAGCCCCAUGGGGCUCAUUCCUCACAACGGCCUUUCCAGGCCCAGUUUUUCCCUUCCGGCGGCCUCUCCGGGCCCAGAAGCUCCUCAAGUCGGCCUCUCCAGACCCACUUGCAGCCUCCCGGCGUCCUCUUCGGGCCCAGCUCUUCCUCCUGGCUACAUCUACAGGCCCGACUCCUGCCUCCCAACAACCUCUUUGGACUCAGUGCCUGCCCAGCUCCUGGUGGCCUUGGUCGGCCCACAGCUUCCUGAAGCCAAGCUCCCCGGGCCCAGCUCAGGCCUCACGGUGGCCUCUCCAGGCUCACCUCCUGCCCUCCGACGGCGUCUCCAGGCCCCAAAUGGCCUCGGGUCGGUGGGCUUCUCCAGGCCCAGCUUGGGCCUCCCGGCGGCCUCUGCAGGCUCAAGUGGUCCUGAAGUCAGCCUCUCCAGGCCCAGCUCCGGCCUCCCAGCAAGCAAGCUCUUUUGGCUCAGCUCCUGCCCAGCUCCCGCCGGCUUUUGUAGACCCUGAACUUUCUCCAGCGAAGCUCCUCAGUCCCACCUCCUGCCUCCCGGUGGCCUGUACAGGCCCAGGUCUGGCUGGAGAACAGCCUCUGCAGGCCCCGCUCUUGCCUCGCAGGGGCAUCUCCAGGCCCAGCUCUGGCCUCACGGCGGCCUCCCGGGACGAAGUCCCUGCCUGCCUCCCAGCGGCCUGUGUGCGGCCCAGCUCCUCCGUCACGGUGGCCUGUUGACGCCCAACUCAUGCCUCUGGCACCCUUUCGAGAGGCGUGAGCCCCUGCCUCACACUGGCCUCUCUCACGCUGAGGGAGGUCAGCUUGAGCCCCUGCCUCACACUGGCCUCUCUCACGCUGAGGGAGGUCAGCGUGAGCCCCUGCCUCACACUGGCCUGUCUCACGCUGAGGGAGGUCAGCGUGUGGCCCUGCCUCACACUGGCCUCUCUCACGCUGAGGGAGGUCAGCGUGAGGCCCUGCCUCACACUGGCCUCUCUCACGCUGAGGGAGGUCAGCGUGAGGCCCUGCCUCACAGUGGCCUCUCUCACGCUGAGAGAAGUCCUCCCUCACGCUGGCCUGUUGAGGCCCAGUUCAUGCCUCUGUUGGCUUCUCCAGGCCCAGCCCCUGCCUGUUGGCGCCCUCUAGAGGCCCAGCCUCUACCUCAAGAGUGGGCCCUCCACGCCCACCUCUUGCCUCGCCGUGGCCUCCUCGGACCAGGCUCCCGCCUUGGGGCGGCCCCCGCAGGCCCAGCUCCUGCCUCACGGCCCUCCGGAGGCCAAGCUCAUGCGUCAGGGCGGCCUCUCCCGGCCUGGCGUUUGCUCCUUUGCAUGGGCUCCAGGUCCUGCACUUCCUCCAGUCGGCCUCUCCAGGCCCAGCUCUUCCUCCCGGCAGCCUCUGCGGGACCAGACUGUCGUCAAGUAGGCCUGUCCAGGGACAGCUCCUGCCUCCCGGCAGACUCUGCAGGCCCAAGUCGUCCUCAAGUCAGCCUCCCCAGGCCCAGCUCCGGCCUCUCGGCGGCCUCUCCAGGUGCAAAACUUCCUCGAGUCCGUCUCUCCAGGUCCAGCUCCUCCUGUCUCCCAGUGGCCUCUUUCAGCCCAGCCCAGCUCAUGCCUCCCGGCGGCCUUCCCAGGCCCCGCUUUUGACUUUCCGCGGCCUCUGCAGGCCCCGAACUUGACUUCCAUUCGGCCUCUGCAGGCCUGGCCUCCUGCCUCCCGAAAGCUUGCACAGGCCCAUCCUCUGCCUCACAGCGGACUCUCCACGCCCAGCUCGCUCUCGCCUGCGGCCUCCCGAGUCCAAAGCUCCGGCCUCUCCGCCGCUUCGGCAGGCCCAGCUCCCGCCUGCCAGUGGCCUCUUCAGGCCCAUGGGGCUCAUUCCUCACAACGGCCUUUCCAGGCCCAGUUUUUCCCUUCCGGCGGCCUCUCCGGGCCCAGAAGCUCCUCAAGUCGGCCUCUCCAGACCCACUUGUAGCCUCCCGGCGUCCUCUCCGGGCCCAGCUCUUCCUCCCGGCUGCAUCUGCAGGCCCGACUCCUGCCUCCCAACAACCUCUUUGGACUCAGUGCCUGCCCAGCUCCUGGUGGCCUUGGUCGGCCCACAGCUUCCUCAAGCCAAGCUCCCCAGGCCCAGCUCAGGCCUCACGGUGGCCUCUCCAGGCUCAGCUCCUGCCCUCUGACGGCGUCUCCAAGCCCCAAAUGGCCUCCGGUCGGUGGGCUUCUCCAGGCCCAGGUUGGGCCUCCCGGCGGCCUCUGCAGGCCCAAGUGGUCCUGAAGUCAGCCUCUCCAGGCCCAGCUCCGGCCUCCCAGCAAGCAAGCUCUUUUGGCUCAGCUCCUGCCCAGCUCCCGCCGGCUUUUGUAGACCCUGAACUUUCUCCAGCGAAGCUCCUCAGUCCCACCUCCUGCCUCCCGGUGGCCUGUACAGGCCCAGGUCUGGCUGGAGAACAGCCUCUGCAGGCCCCGCUCUUGCCUCCCAGGGGCGUCUCCAGGCCCAGCUCUGGCCUCACGGCGGCCUCCCGGGACCAAGUCCCUGCCUGCCUCCCAGCAGCCUGUGUGCGGCCCAGCUCCUCCGUCACGGUGGCCUGUUGAGGCCCAACUCAUGCCUCUGGCACCCUUUCGAGAGGCGUGAGCCCCUGCCUCACAUUGGCCUCUCUCACGCUGAGGGAGGUCAUCGUGAGCCCCUGCCUCACAGUGGCCUCUCUAACGCUGAGGGAGGUCAGCGUGAGGCCCUGCCUCACACUGGCCUCUCUCACGCUGAGGGACGUCAGCGUGAGGCCCUGCCUCACAGUGGCCUCUCUCACGCUGAGGGAAGUCCUCCCUCACGCUGGCCUGUUGAGGCCCAGUUCAUGCCUCUGUUGGCUUCUCCAGGCCCAGCCCCUGCCUGUUGGCGGCCUCUAGAGGCCCAGCCUCUACCUCAACAGUGGGCCCUCCACGCCCACCUGUUGCCUUGCCGUGGCGUCCUCGGGCCAGGCUCCCGCCUUGGGGCGGCCCCCGCAGGCCCAGCUCCUGCCUCACGGCCCUCCGGAGGCCAAGCUCAUGCGUCAGAGCGGCCUCUCCCGGCCUGGCGUUUGCUCCUUUGCAUGGGCUCCAGGUCCUGCACUUCCUCCAGUCGGCCUCUCCAGGCCCAGCGCUUCCUCCCGGCAGCCUCUGCAGGACCAGACUGUCGUCAAGUAGGCCUGUCCAGGGACAGCUCCUGCCUCCCGGCAGACUCUGCAGGCCCAAGUCGUCCUCAAGUCAGCCUCCCCAGGCCCAGCUCCGGCCUCUCGGCGGCCUCUCCAGGUGCAAAAGUUCCUCGAGUCCGUCUCUCCAGGUCCAGCUCCUCCUGUCUCCCAGUGGCCUCUUUCAGCCCAGCCCAGCUCAUGCCUCCCGGCGACCUUCCCAGGCCCCGCUUUUGACUUUCCGCGACCUCUGCAGGCCCCGAAAUUGACCUCCAGUCGGCCUCUGCAGGCCUGGUCUCCUGCCUCCCGAAAGCUUGCACAGGCCCAUCCUCUGCCUCACAGCGGACUCUCCACGCCCAGCUCGCUCUCGCCUGCGGCCUCCCGAGUCCAAAGCUCCGGCCUCUCCGCCGCUUCGGCAGGCCCAGCUCCCGCCUGCCAGUGGCCUCUUCAGGCCCAUGGGGCUCAUUCCUCACAACGGCCUUUCCAGGCCCAGUUUUUCCCUUCCGGCGGCCUCUCCGGGCCCAGAAGCUCCUCAAGUCGGCCUCUCCAGACCCACUUGCAGCCUCCCGGCGUCCUCUCCGGGCCCAGCUCUUCCUCCCGGCUGCGUCUGCAGGCCCGACUCCUGCCUCCCAACAACCUCUUUGGACUCUGCCUGCCCAGCUCCUGGUGGCCUUGGUCGGCCCACAGCUUCCUGAAGCCAAGCUCCCCAGGCCCAGCUCAGGCCUCACGGUGGCCUCUCCAGGCUCAGCUCCUGCCCUCCGACGGCGUCUCCAGGCCCCAAAUGGCCUCGGGUCGGUGGGCUUCUCCAGGCCCAGCUUGGGCCUCCCGGCGGCCUCUGCAGGCUCAAGUGGUCCUGAAGUCAGCCUCUCCAGGCCCAGUUCCGGCCUCCCAGCAAGCAAGCUCUUUUGGCUCAGCUCCUGCUCAGCUCCUGCCCAGCUCCCGCCGGCUUUUGUAGACCCUGAACUUUCUCCAGCGAAGCUCCUCAGUCCCACCUCCUGCCUCCCGGUGGCCUGUACAGGCCCAGGUCUGGCUGGAGAACAGCCUCUGCAGGCCCCGCUCUUGCCUCCCAGGGGCGUCUCCAGGCCCAGCUCUGGCCUCACGGCGGCCUCCCGGGACCAAGUCCCUGCCUGCCUCCCAGCAGCCUGUGUGCGGCCCAGCUCCUCCGUCACGGUGGCCUGUUCAGGCCCAACUCAUGCCUCUGGCACCCUUUCGAGAGGCGUGAGCCCCUGCCUCACAUUGGCCUCUCUCACGCUGAGGGAGGUCAGCGUGAGCCCCUGCCUCACACUGGCCUCUCUCACGCUGAGGCAGGUCAGCGUGUGGCCCUGCCUCACACUGGCCUCUCUCACGCUGAGGCAGGUCAGCGUGUGGCCCUGCCUCACACUGGCCUCUCUCACGCUGAGGGAGGUCAGCGUGAGGCCCUGCCUCACACUGGCCUCUCUAACGCUGAGGGAGGUCAGCGUGAGGCCCUGCCUCACACUGGCCUCUCUCACGCUGAGAGAAGUCCUCCCUCACGCUGGCCUGUUGAGGCCCAGUUCAUGCCUCUGUUGGCUUCUCCAGGCCCAGCCCCUGCCUGUUGGCGGCCUCUAGAGGCCCAGCCUCUACCUCAACCGUGGGCCCUCCACGCCCACCUCUUGCCUCGCCGUGGCCUCCUCGGACCAGGCUCCCGCCUUGGGGCGGCCCCCGCAGGCCCAGCUCCUGCCUCACGGCCCUCCGGAGGCCAAGCUCAUGUGUCAGGGCGGCCUCUCCCGGCCUGGCGUUUGCUCCUUUGCAUGGGCUCCAGGUCCUGCACUUCCUGCAGUCGGCCUCUCCAGGCCCAGCUCUUCCUCCCGGCAGCCUCUGCGGGACCAGACUGUCGUCAAGUAGGCCUGUCCAGGGACAGCUCCUGCCUCCCGGCAGACUCUGCAGGCCCAAGUCGUCCUCAAGUCAGCCUCCCCAGGCCCAGCUCCGGCCUCUCGGUGGCCUCUCCAGGUGCAAAACUUCCUCGAGUCCGUCUCUCCAGGUCCAGCUCCUCCUGUCUCCCAGUGGCCUCUUUCAGCCCAGCCCAGCUCAUGCCUCCCGGCGGCCUUCCCAGGCCCCGCUUUUGACUUUCCGCGGCCUCUGCAGGCCCCGAACUUGACCUCUAGUCGGCCUCUGCAGGCCUGGCCUCCUGCCUCCCGACAGCUUGCACAGGCCCAGCCUCUGCCUCACAGCGGACUCUCCACGCCCAGCUCGCUCUCGCCUGCGGCCUCCCUAGUCCAAAGCUCCGGCCUCUCCGCCGCUUCCGCAGGCCCAGCUCCCGCCUGCCAGUGGCCUCUUCAGGCCCAUGGGGCUCAUUCCUCACAACGGCCUUUCCAGGCCCAGUUUUUCCCUUCCGGCGGCCUCUCCGGGCCCAGAAGCUCCUCAAGUCGGCCUCUCCAGACCCACUUGCAGCCUCCCGGCGUCCUCUCCGGGCCCAGCUCUUCCUCCCGGCUGCGUCUACAGGCCCGACUCCUGCCUCCCAACAACCUCUUUGGACUCAGUGCCUACCCAGCUCCUGGUGGCCUUGGUCGUGCCACAGCUUCCUGAAGCCAAGCUCCCCGGGCCCAGCUCAGGCCUCACGGCGGCCUCUCCAAGCUCAGCUCCUGCCCUCCGACGGCGUCUCCAGGCCCCAAAUGGCCUCGGGUCGGUGGGCUUCUCCAGGCCCAGCUUGGGCCUCCCGGCGGCCUCUGCAGGCUCAAGUGGUCCUGAAGUCAGCCUCUCCAGGCCCAGUUCUGGCCUCCCAGCAAGCAAGCUCUUUUGGCUCAGCUCCUGCCCAGCUCCCGCCGGCUUUUGUAGACCCUGAACUUUCUCCAGCGAAGCUCCUCAGUCCCACCUCCUGCCUCCCGGUGGCCUGUACAGGCCCAGGUCUGGCUGGAGAACAGCCUCUGCAGGCCCCGCUCUUGCCUCCCAGGGGCGUCUCCAGGCCCAGCUCUGGCCUCACGGCGGCCUCCCGGGACCAAGUCCCUGCCUGCCUCCCAGCAGCCUGUGUGCGGCCCAGCUCCUCCGUCACGGUGGCCUGUUGAGGCCCAACUCAUGCCUCUGGCACCCUUUCAAGAGGCGUGAGCCCCUGCCUCACAUUGGCCUCUCUCACGCUGAGGGAGGUCAGCGUGAGCCCCUGCCUCACACUGGCCUCUCUCACGCUGAGGGAGGUCAGCGUGAGCCCCUGCCUCACACUGGCCUCUCUCACGCUGAGGGAGGUCAGCGUGUGGCCCUGCCUCACACUGGCCUCUCUCACGCUGAGGGAGGUCAGCGUGAGGCCCUGCCUCACACUGGCCUCUCUAACGCUGAGGGAGGUCAGCGUGAGCCCCUGCCUCACACUGGCCUCUCUCACGCUGAGGCAGGUCAGCGUGUGGCCCUGCCUCACACUGGCCUCUCUCACGCUGAGGGAGGUCAGCGUGAGGCCCUGCCUCACACUGGCCUCUCUAACGCUGAGGGAGGUCAGCGUGAGGCCCUGCCUCACACUGGCCUCUCUCACGCUGAGAGAAGUCCUCCCUCACGCUGGCCUGUUGAGGCCCAGUUCAUGCCUCUGUUGGCUUCUCCAGGCCCAGCCCCUGCCUGUUGGCGGCCUCUAGAGGCCCAGCCUCUACCUCAACCGUGGGCCCUCCACGCCCACCUCUUGCCUCGCCGUGGCCUCCUCGGACCAGGCUCCCGCCUUGGGGCGGCCCCCGCAGGCCCAGCUCCUGCCUCACGGCCCUCCGGAGGCCAAGCUCAUGUGUCAGGGCGGCCUCUCCCGGCCUGGCGUUUGCUCCUUUGCAUGGGCUCCAGGUCCUGCACUUCCUGCAGUCGGCCUCUCCAGGCCCAGCUCUUCCUCCCGGCAGCCUCUGCGGGACCAGACUGUCGUCAAGUAGGCCUGUCCAGGGACAGCUCCUGCCUCCCGGCAGACUCUGCAGGCCCAAGUCGUCCUCAAGUCAGCCUCCCCAGGCCCAGCUCCGGCCUCUCGGCGGCCUCUCCAGGUGCAAAAGUUCCUCGAGUCCGUCUCUCCAGGUCCAGCUCCUCCUGUCUCCCAGUGGCCUCUUUCAGCCCAGCCCAGCUCAUGCCUCCCGGCGGCCUUCCCAGGCCCCGCUUUUGACUUUCCGCGGCCUCUGCAGGCCCCGAACUUGACCUCUAGUCGGCCUCUGCAGGCCUGGCCUCCUGCCUCCCGAAAGCUUGCACAGGCCCAGCCUCUGCCUCACAGCGGACUCUCCACGCCCAGCUCGCUCUCGCCUGCGGCCUCCCUAGUCCAAAGCUCCGGCCUCUCCGCCGCUUCCGCAGGCCCAGCUCCCGCCUGCCAGUGGCCUCUUCAGGCCCAUGGGGCUCAUUCCUCACAACGGCCUUUCCAGGCCCAGUUUUUCCCUUCCGGCGGCCUCUCCGGGCCCAGAAGCUCCUCAAGUCGGCCUCUCCAGACCCACUUGCAGCCUCCCGGCGUCCUCUCCGGGCCCAGCUCUUCCUCCCGGCUGCGUCUACAGGCCCGACUCCUGCCUCCCAACAACCUCUUUGGACUCAGUGCCUGCCCAGCUCCUGGUGGCCUUGGUCGGCCCACAGCUUCCUGAAGCCAAGCUCCCCGGGCCCAGCUCAGGCCUCACGGCGGCCUCUCCAGGCUCAGCUCCUGCCCUCCGACGGCGUCUCCAGGCCCCAAAUGGCCUCGGGUCGGUGGGCUUCUCCAGGCCCAGCUUGGGCCUCCCGGCGGCCUCUGCAGGCUCAAGUGGUCCUGAAGUCAGCCUCUCCAGGCCCAGCUCCGGCCUCCCAGCAAGCAAGCUCUUUUGGCUCAGCUCCUGCCCAGCUCCCGCCGGCUUUUGUAGACCCUGAACUUUCUCCAGCGAAGCUCCUCAGUCCCACCUCCUGCCUCCCGGUGGCCUGUACAGGCCCAGGUCUGGCUGGAGAACAGCCUCUGCAGGCCCCGCUCUUGCCUCCCAGGGGCGUCUCCAGGCCCAGCUCUGGCCUCACGGCGGCCUCCCGGGACCAAGUCCCUGCCUGCCUCCCAGCAGCCUGUGUGCGGCCCAGCUCCUCCGUCACGGUGGCCUGUUGAGGCCCAACUCAUGCCUCUGGCACCCUUUCGAGAGGCGUGAGCCCCUGCCUCACAUUGGCCUCUCUCACGCUGAGGGAGGUCAGCGUGAGCCCCUGCCUCACACUGGCCUCUCUCACGCUGAGGGAGGUCAGCGUGAGCCCCUGCCUCACACUGGCCUCUCUCACGCUGAGGGAGGUCAGCGUGUGGCCCUGCCUCACACUGGCCUCUCUCACGCUGAGGGAGGUCAGCGUGAGGCCCUGCCUCACACUGGCCUCUCUAACGCUGAGGGAGGUCAGCGUGAGGCCCUGCCUCACACUGGCCUCUCUCACGCUGAGAGAAGUCCUCCCUCACGCUGGCCUGUUGAGGCCCAGUUCAUGCCUCUGUUGGCUUCUCCAGGCCCAGCCCCUGCCUGUUGGCGGCCUCUAGAGGCCCAGCCUCUACCUCAACCGUGGGCCCUCCACGCCCACCUCUUGCCUCGCCGUGGCCUCCUCGGACCAGGCUCCCGCCUUGGGGCGGCCCCCGCAGGCCCAGCUCCUGCCUCACGGCCCUCCGGAGGCCAAGCUCAUGUGUCAGGGCGGCCUCUCCCGGCCUGGCGUUUGCUCCUUUGCAUGGGCUCCAGGUCCUGCACUUCCUGCAGUCGGCCUCUCCAGGCCCAGCUCUUCCUCCCGGCAGCCUCUGCGGGACCAGAUUGUCGUCAAGUAGGCCUGUCCAGGGACAGCUCCUGCCUCCCGACAGACUCUGCAGGCCCAAGUCGUCCUCAAGUCAGCCUCCCCAGGCCCAGCUCCGGCCUCUCGGCGGCCUCUCCAGGUGCAAAAGUUCCUCGAGUCCGUCUCUCCAGGUCCAGCUCCUCCUGUCUCCCAGUGGCCUCCUUCAGCCCAGCCCAGCUCAUGCCUCCCGGCGGCCUUCCCAGGCCCCGCUUUUGACUUUCCGCGGCCUCUGCAGGCCCCGAACUUGACCUCCAGUCGGCCUCUGCAGGCCUGGCCUCCUGCCUCCCGAAAGCUUGCACAGGCCCAGCCUCUGCCUCACAGCGGACUCUCCACGCCCAGCUCGCUCUCGCCUGCGGCCUCCCAAGUCCAAAGCUCCGGCCUCUCCGCCGCUUCGGCAGGCCCAGCUCCCGCCUGCCAGUGGCCUCUUCAGGCCCAUGGGGCUCAUUCCUCACAACGGCCUUUCCAGGCCCAGUUUUUCCCUUCCGGCGGCCUCUCCGGGCCCAGAAGCUCCUCAAGUCGGCCUCUCCAGACCCACUUGCAGCCUCCCGGCGUCCUCUCCGGGCCCAGCUCUUCCUCCCGGCUGCGUCUACAGGCCCGACUCCUGCCUCCCAACAACCUCUUUGGACUCAGUGCCUGCCCAGCUCCUGGUGGCCUUGGUCGGCCCACAGCUUCCUGAAGCCAAGCUCCCCGGGCCCAGCUCAGGCCUCACGGCGGCCUCUCCAGGCUCAGCUCCUGCCCUCCGACGGCGUCUCCAGGCCCCAAAUGGCCUCGGGUCGGUGGGCUUCUCCAGGCCCAGCUUGGGCCUCCCGGCGGCCUCUGCAGGCUCAAGUGGUCCUGAAGUCAGCCUCUCCAGGCCCAGCUCCGGCCUCCGAGCAAGCAAGCUCUUUUGGCUCAGCUCCUGCCCAGCUCCCGCCGGCUUUUGUAGACCCUGAACUUUCUCCAGCGAAGCUCCUCAGUCCCACCUCCUGCCUCCCGGUGGCCUGUACAGGCCCAGGUCUGGCUGGAGAACAGCCUCUGCAGGCCCCGCUCUUGCCUCCCAGGGGCGUCUCCAGGCCCAGCUCUGGCCUCACGGCGGCCUCCCGGGACCAAGUCCCUGCCUGCCUCCCAGCAGCCAGUGUGCGGCCCAGCUCCUCCGUCACGGUGGCCUGUUGAGGCCCAACUCAUGCCUCUGGCACCCUUUCGAGAGGCGUGAGCCCCUGCCUCACAUUGGCCUCUCUCACGCUGAGGGAGGUCAGCGUGAGCCCCUGCCUCACACUGGCCUCUCUCACGCUGAGGGAGGUCAGCGUGAGCCCCUGCCUCACACUGGCCUCUCUCACGCUGAGGGAGGUCAGCGUGAGCCCCUGCCUCACACUGGCCUCUCUCACGCUGAGGGAGGUCAGCAUGUGGCCCUGCCUCACACUGGCCUCUCUCACGCUGAGGGAGGUCAGCGUGAGGCCCUGCCUCACACUGGCCUCUCUAACGCUGAGGGAGGUCAGCGUGAGGCCCUGCCUCACACUGGCCUCUGUCACGCUGAGAGAAGUCCUCCCUCACGCUGGCCUGUUGAGGCCCAGUUCAUGCCUCUGUUGGCUUCUCCAGGCCCAGCCCCUGCCUGUUGGCGGCCUCUAGAGGCCCAGCCUCUACCUCAACCGUGGGCCCUCCACGCCCACCUCUUGCCUCGCCGUGGCCUCCUCGGACCAGGCUCCCGCCUUGGGGCGGCCCCCGCAGGCCCAGCUCCUGCCUCACGGCCCUCCGGAGGCCAAGCUCAUGUGUCAGGGCGGCCUCUCCCGGCCUGGCGUUUGCUCCUUUGCAUGGGCUCCAGGUCCUGCACUUCCUGCAGUCGGCCUCUCCAGGCCCAGCUCUUCCUCCCGGCAGCCUCUGCGGGACCAGACUGUCGUCAAGUAGGCCUGUCCAGGGACAGCUCCUGCCUCCUGGCAGACUCUGCAGGCCCAAGUCGUCCUCAAGUCAGCCUCCCCAGGCCCAGCUCCGGCCUCUCGGCGGCCUCUCCAGGUGCAAAAGUUCCUCGAGUCCGUCUCUCCAGGUCCAGCUCCUCCUGUCUCCCAGUGGCCUCUUUCAGCCCAGCCCAGCUCAUGCCUCCCGGCGGCCUUCCCAGGCCCCGCUUUUGACUUUCCGCGGCCUCUGCAGGCCCCGAACUUGACCUCCAGUCGGCCUCUGCAGGCCUGGCCUCCUGCCUCCCGAAAGCUUGCACAGGCCCAGCCUCUGCCUCACAGCGGACUCUCCACGCCCAGCUCGCUCUCGCCUGCGGCCUCCCGAGUCCAAAGCUCCGGCCUCUCCGCCGCUUCGGCAGGCCCAGCUCCCGCCUGCCAGUGGCCUCUUCAGGCCCAUGGGGCUCAUUCCUCACAACGGCCUUUCGAGGCCCAGUUUUUCCCUUCCGGCGGCCUCUCCGGGCCCAGAAGCUCUUCAAGUCGGCCUCUCCAGACCCACUUGCAGCCUCCCGGCAUCCUCUCCGGGCCCAGCUCUUCCUCCCGGCUGCGUCUGCAGGCCCGACUCCUGCCUCCCAACAACCUCUUUGGACUCAGUGCCUGCCCAGCUCCUGGUGGCCUUGGUCGGCCCACAGCUUCCUGAAGCCAAGCUCCCCGGGCCCAGCUCAGGCCUCACGGUGGCCUCUCCAGGCUCAGCUCCUGCCCUCCGACGGCGUCUCCAGGCCCCAAAUGGCCUCGGGUCGGUGGGCUUCUCCAGGCCCAGCUUGGGCCUCCCGGCGGCCUCUGCAGGCUCAAGUGGUCCUGAAGUCAGCCUCUCCAGGCCCAGCUCCGGCCUCCCAGCAAGCAAGCUCUUUUGGCUCAGCUCCUGCCCAGCUCCCGCCGGCUUUUGUAGACCCUGAACUUUCUCCAGCGAAGCUCCUCAGUCCCACCUCCUGCCUCCCGGUGGCCUGUACAGGCCCAGGUCUGGCUGGAGAACAGCCUCUGCAGGCCCGGCUCUUGCCUCCCAGGGGCGUCUCCAGGCCCAGCUCUGGCCUCACGGCGGCCUCCCGGGACCAAGUCCCUGCCUGCCUCCCAGCAGCCUGUGUGCGGCCCAGCUCCUCCGUCACGGUGGCCUGUUGAGGCCCAACUCAUGCCUCUGGCACCCUUUCGAGAGGCGUGAGCCCCUGCCUCACAUUGGCCUCUCUCACGCUGAGGGAGGUCAGCGUGAGCCCCUGCCUCACACUGGCCUCUCUCACGCUGAGGGAGGUCAGCGUGUGGCCCUGCCUCACACUGGCCUCUCUCACGCUGAGGGAGGUCAGCGUGAGGCCCUGCCUCACACUGGCCUCUCUAACGCUGAGGGAGGUCAGCGUGAGGCCCUGCCUCACACUGGCCUCUCUAACGCUGAGAGAAGUCCUCCCUCACGCUGGCCUGUUGAGGCCCAGUUCAUGCCUCUGUUGGCUUCUCUAGGCCCAGCCCCUGCCUGUUUGCGGCCUCUAGAGGCCCAGCCUCUACCUCAACCGUGGGCCCUCCACGCCCACCUCUUGCCUCGCCGUGGCCUCCUCGGACCAGGCUCCCGCCUUGGGGCGGCCCCCGCAGGCCCAGCUCCUGCCUCACGGCCCUCCGGAGGCCAAGGUCAUGCGUCAGGGCGGCCUCUCCCGGCCUGUCGUUUCCUCCUUUGCAUGGGCUCCAGGUCCUGCACUUCCUGCAGUCGGCCUCUCCAGGCCCAGCUCUUCCUCCCGGCAGCCUCUGCGGGACCAGACUGUCGUCAAGUAGGCCUGUCCAGGGACAGCUCCUGCCUCCCGGCAGACUCUGCAGGCCCAAGUCGUCCUCAAGUCAGCCUCCCCAGGCCCAGCUCCGGCCUCUCGGCGGCCUCUCCAGGUGCAAAAGUUCCUCGAGUCCGUCUCUCCAGGUCCAGCUCCUCCUGUCUCCCAGUGGCCUCUUUCAGCCCAGCCCAGCUCAUGCCUCCCAGCGGCCUUCCCAGGCCCCGCUUUUGACUUUCCGCGGCCUCUGCAGGCCCCGAACUUGACCUCCAGUCGGCCUCUGCAGGCCUGGCCUCCUGCCUCCCGAAAGCUUGCACAGGCCCAGCCUCUGCCUCACAGCGGUCUCUCCACGCCCAGCUCGCUCUCGCCUGCGGCCUCCCUAGUCCAAAGCUCCGGCCUCUCCGCCGCUUCGGCAGGCCCAGCUCCCACCUGCCAGUGGCCUCUUCAGGCCCAUGGGGCUCAUUCCUCACAACGGCCUUUCCAGGCCCAGUUUUUCCCUUCCGGCGGCCUCUCCGGGCCCAGAAGCUCCUCAAGUCGGCCUCUCCAGAACCACUUGCAGCCUCCCGGCGUCCUCUCCGGGCCCAGCUCUUCCUCCCGGCUGCGUCUACAGGCCCGACUCCUGCCUCCCAACAACCUCUUUGGACUCAGUGCCUGCCCAGCUCCUGGUGGCCUUGGUCGGCCCACAGCUUCCUGAAGCCAAGCUCACCGGGCCCACCUCAGGCCUCUCGGCGGCCUCUCCAGGCUCAGCUCCUGCCCUCCGACGGCGUCUCCAGGUCCCAAAUGGCCUCGGGUCGGUGGGCUUCUCCAGGCCCAGCUUGGGCCUCCCGGCGGCCUCUGCAGGCCCAAGUGGUCCUGAAGUCAGCCUCUCCAGGCCCAGUUCCGGCCUCCCAGCAAGCAAGCUCUUUUGGCUCAGCUCCUGCCCAGCUCCCGCCGGCUUUUGUAGACCCUGAACUUUCUCCAGCGAAGCUCCUCAGUCCCACCUCCUGCCUCCCGGUGGCCUGUACAGGCCCAGGUCUGGCUGGAGAACAGCCUCUGCAGGCCCCGCUCUUGCCUCCCAGGGGCGUCUCCAGGCCCAGCUCUGGCCUCACGGCGGCCUCCCGGGACCAAGUCCCUGCCUGCCUCCCAGCAGCCUGUGUGCGGCCCAGCUCCUCCGUCACGGUGGCCUGUUGAGGCCCAACUCAUGCCUCUGGCACCCUUUCGAGAGGCGUGAGCCCCUGCCUUACAUUGGCCUCUCUCACGCUGAGGGAGGUCAGCGUGAGCCCCUGCCUCACACUGGCCUCUCUCACGCUGAGGGAGGUCAGCGUGAGCCCCUGCCUCACACUGGCCUCUCUAACGCUGAGGGAGGUCAGCGUGAGGCCCUGCCUCACUCUGGCCUCUCUCACGCUGAGAGAAGUCCUCCCUCACGCUGGCCUGUUGAGGCCCAGUUCAUGCCUCUGUUGGCUUCUCCAGGCCCAGCCCCUGCCUGUUGGCGGCCUCUAGAGGCCCAGCCUCUACCUCAACAGUGGGCCCUCCACGCCCACCUCUUGCCUCGCCGUGGCCUCCUCGGACCAGGCUCCCACCUUGGGGCGGCCCCCGCAGGCCCAGCUCCUGCCUCACGGCCCUCCGGAGGCCAAGCUCAUGUGUCAGGGCGGCCUCUCCCGGCCUGGCGUUUGCUCCUUUCCAUGGGCUCCAGGUCCUGCACUUCCUGCAGUCGGCCUCUCCAGGCCCAGCUCUUCCUCCCGGCAGCCUCUGCGGGACCAGACUGUCGUCAAGUAGGCCUGUCCAGGGACAGCUCCUGCCUCCCGGCAGACUCUGCAGGCCCAAGUCGUCCUCAAGUCAGCCUCCCCAGGCCCAGCUCCGGCCUCUCGGCGGCCUCUCCAGGUGCAAAUGUUCCUCGAGUCCGUCUCUCCAGGUCCAGCUCCUCCUGUCUCCCAGUGGCCUCUUUCAGCCCAGCCCAGCUCAUGCCUCCCGGCGGCCUUCCCAGGCCCCGCUUUUGACUUUCCGCGGCCUCUGCAGGCCCCGAACUUGACCUCCAGUCGGCCUCUGCAGGCCUGGCCUCCUGCCUCCCGACAGCUUGCACAGGCCCAGCCUCUGCCUCACAGCGGACUCUCCACGCCCAGCUCGCUCUCGCCUGCGGCCUCCCGAGUCCAAAGCUCCGGCCUCUCCGCCGCUUCGGCAGGCCCAGCUCCCGCCUGCCAGUGGCCUUUUCAGGCCCAUGGGGCUCAUUCCUCACAACGGCCUUUCCAGGCCCAGUUUUUCCCUUCCGGCGGCCUCUCCGGGCCCAGAAGCUCCUCAAGUCGGCCUCUCCAGACCCACUUGCAGCCUCCCGGUAUCCUCUCCGGGCCCAGCUCUUCCUCCCGGCUGCGUCUGCAGGCCCGACUCCUGCCUCCCAACAACCUCUUUGGACUCAGUGCCUGCCCAGCUCCUGGUGGCCUUGGUCGGCCCACAGCUUCCUGAAGCCAAGCUCCCCAGGCCCAGCUCGGGCCUCAUGGUGGCCUCUCCUGGCUCAGCUCCUGCCCUCCGACGGCGUCUCCAGGCCCCAAAUGGCCUCGGGUCGGUGGGCUUCUCCAGGCCCAGCUUGGGCCUCCCGGCGGCCUCUGCAGGCUCAAGUGGUCCUGAAGUCAGCCUCUCCAGGCCCAGCUCCGGCCUCCCAGCAAGCAAGCUCUUUUGGCUCAGCUCCUGCCCAGCUCCCGCCGGCUUUUGUAGACCCUGAACUUUCUCCAGCGAUGCUCCUCAGUCCCACCUGCCUCCCGGUGGCCUGUACAGGCCCAGGUCUGGCUGGAGAACAGCCUCUGCAGGCCCCACUCUUGCCUCCUAGGGGCAUCUCCAGGCCCAGCUCUGGCCUCACGGCGGCCUCCCGGGACCAAGUCCCUGCCUGCCUCCCAGCAGCCUGUGUGCGGCCCAGCUCCUCCGUCACGGUGGCCUGUUCAGGCCCAACUCAUGCCUCUGGCACCCUUUCGAGAGGCGUGAGCCCCUGCCUCACAUUGGCCUCUCUCACGCUGAGGGAGUUCAGCGUGGGCCCCUGUCUCACACUGGCCUCUCUCACGCUGAGGGAGGUCAGCAUGAGCCCCUGCCUCACACUGGUCUCUCUCACGCUGAGAGCAAUCCUCCCUCACGCUGGCCUGUUGAGACCCAGCUCAUGCCUCUGUUGGCCUUUCCAGGCCCAGCCCCUGCCUGUUGGCGGCCUCUAGAUGUCCAGCCUCUACCUCAACAGUGGGCCCUCCACGCCCACCUCUUGCCUGGCCGUGGCCUCUUCGGGCCAGGCUCCCGCCUUGGGGCAGCCCCCGCAGGCCCAGCUCCUGCCUCACGGCCCUCCGGAGGCCAAGCUCAUGCGUCAGGGCAGCCUCUCCCAGCCUGGCGUUUGCUCCUUUGCAUGGGCUCCAGGCCCUGGACUUCCUCCAGUCGGCCUCUCCAGGCCCAGCUCUUCCUCCCGGCAGCCUCUGCAGGACCAGACUGUCGUCAAGUAGGCCUGUCCAGGGACAGCUCCUUCCUCCCGGCGGCCUCUGUAGGCCCAGACUGUCAUCAAGUAGGCCUGUCCAAGGACAGCUCCUGCCUCCCGGUGGCCUCUGUUGGCCCAAGUCGUCCUCAAGUCUGCCUCCCCAGGCCCAGCUCUGGCCUCUCGGCGGCCUCUCCAGGUGCAAAAGUUCCUCGAGUCCGUCUCUCCAGGCUCAGCUCCUCCUGUCUCCCAGUGGCCUCUUUCAGCCCAGCCCAGCUCAUGCCUCCCGGUGGCCUUCCCAGGCCCUGCUUUUGACUUUCCGCGGCCUCUGCAGGCCCCGAACUUGACCACCAGUCGGCCUCUCCAGGCCUGGCCUCCUGCCUGUUGACAGCCACUAGAGGCCCAGCCUCUACCUCAACAGUGUGCCCUCCAGGCCCACCUCUUGCCUCGCCGUGGCCUCCUCGGGCCAGGCUCCCACCUCGGGACGGCCUCCGCAGGCCCAGCUCCUGCCUCACGGAGGCCCUCUGGAGGCCAAGCUCAUGCGUCGUGGCGGCCUCUCCCGGCCUGGCGUUUGCUCCUUUGCAUGGGCUCCAGGUCCUGCACUUCCUCCAGUCGGCCUCUCCAGGCCCAGCUCUUCCUCCCGGCAGCCUCUGCAGGACCAGACUGUCGUCAAGUAGGCCUGUCCAGGGACAGCUCCUGCUUCCCGGCGGCCUCUGUAGGCCCAGACUGUCAUCAAGUAGGCCUGUCCAGGGACAGCUCCUGCCUCUCGGUGGCCUCUGCAGGCCCAAAUCAUCCUCCCCAGGCCCAGCUCCGGCCUCUCGGCGGCCUCUCCAGGUGCAAAAGUUUGAAUCAGUAUCUCCAGGCCCAGGUCCUCCUGUCUCCCAGUGGCCUCUUUUGGCCCAGCCCAGUUCAUGCCUCCUGGUGGCCUUCCCAGGCCCCACUUUUGACUUUCCGCGGCCUCUGCAGAUUCCGAACUUGACCUCCAGUCGGCCUCUCCUGGCCCGGCCUCCUGCCUUCCGAAGGCCUGCACAGGCCCAGUCUCUGCCUCACAGCGGACUCUCCACGCCCAGCUAGCUCUCGCCUCACUGCAGCCUCCCGAGUCCAAAGCUCCUGCCUCUUGGCCGCUUCGGCAGGCCCAGCUCCCACCUGCCAGUGGCCUCUUCUGGCCCAUGGGGUUCAUUCCUCACAACGGCCUUUCCAGGCCCAUUUUUUCCCUUCCGACUGCCUCUCAGGACCCAGAACCUCUGGGCCCACUUGAGGAGAUGCAGCCAGGAGGAACAGCUGGGCUUGCAGAGGCUGCCAUGCGGGAGGCAGAGGCUGGGCCUCCUGAAGUCGGCCUCUCCAGACCCACUUGCAGACUCCCGGCAUCCUCUCUGGGCUCAGCUCUUCCUCCCGGCUGCGUCUCCAGGCCCGACUCCGGCCUCCCAACAACCUCUUUGGACUCAGCUCCCGCCCAGCUCCCGGUGGCCCUGGUUGGCCCACAACUUCCUGAAGCCAAGCUCCCCAGCCCCAGCUCAGGCCUCACGGUGGCCUCUCCAGGCUCAGCUCCUGCCCUCUGACAGCGUCUCCAGGCCCCGAACGGCCUCCAGUCGGUGGAUUCCUCUAUGCCCAGCUUGGGCCUCCCGGCAGCCUCUGCUGGCCCAAAUCGUCCUGAAGUCGCCCUCUCCAGGCCCAGCUCCGGCCUCCCGGCAGCCUCUCCAGGCGCAACGCGUCGUCAACGAGGGCCCCUCCGGGGUCAGCUCCUGCCUCUCAUCAGCCUCUAGAGGCCAGUCUGGCGGCCUCUGCAGGCCCAGACUGCCCUUGAGUCAGGCUCUCCAGGGCCAGCUCCAGCCUCCUGGCAGACUCUGCAGGCCCAAGUCGUCCUCAAGUCGGCCUGGAAGUGGGCCUGGAAGAGCUGCAUUUUGGCCUCCCCGGGCCCAGCUCCGUCCUCUCGGCGGCCUCUCCAGGUGCAAAACUUCCUCGAGUCAGCCUCUCCAGGUCCAGCUCCUCCUGCCUCCCAGUGGCCUCUUUCAGCCCAGCCCAGCUCGUGGCUGUAGGCAGCCUUCCCAGGCCCUGCUUUUGACUUUUGGCGGCCUCUUCAGGCCCAGAACUUGAUCUCCAGUCAGCUUUUGCAGGCCCGGCAUCCUGCCUCCCGAAGGCCUGCACGGGCCCGGCCUCGGAAUCACAGCAGACUCUCCACGCCCAGCUAGCUCUCGCCUCACUGUGGCCUCCCCAGUCCAAAGCUCCUGCCUUUCGGCCGCUUCGGCAGGCCCAGCUCCCGCCUGCCAGUGGCCUCUUUAGGCCCAGCUCAUUCCUCACAUUGGCCUUUCCAGGCCCCGUUUUUCCCUUCCGGCAGCCUCU